CCUACGGGUGGCUGCAGUGGGGAAUAUUGGACAAUGGGGGGAACCCUGAUCCAGCGACGCCGCGUGAGUGACGAAGUCUUUCGGUAUGUUAAGCCUUAUUAGCAGGGAAGCAAAUGACGGUACCUGACUAAGAAGCCCCGGCUAACUACGUGCCAGCAGCCGCGGGAAUACGGAGGGGGCAAGCGUUAUCCGGAUUUACUGGGUGUAAAGGGAGCGUAGACGGUGCAGCAAGUCUGAUGUGAAAGGUCGGGGCCCAACCCCGGGACUGACGUUGAAACUGUUGAACUGGAGUACAGGAGAGGUAAGCGGAAUUCCUAGUGUAGCGGUGAAAUGCAUAGAUAUUACGAGGAACACCAGUGGCGAAGGCAGCUUACUGGACUGUAACUGACGUUGAGGCUCGAAAGCGUGGGGAGCAAACAGGAUUAGAUACCCCGGUAGUC
rnacentral:rRNA from 1 species